GAACUACUCCCUCCGUUCGGAAUUACUUGUCGCAAAAAUAGAUGUAUCUAGACAUAUUUUAGUUCUAGAUACAUCCAUAUUCGAGACAAGUAAUUCCGAACGAAGGGAGUAAUAU
rnacentral:pre_miRNA from 1 species